GGGACUCGAUCCCAGGACCCUGAGAUCAUGACCUGAGCCGAAGGCAGCGGCCUAACCCACUGAGCCACCCAGGCGCCCCGAAGUCAGAAUUUUUAAAGGAUAAUAAUACUCAUUAACUGAGCUCAGAGUCACAUGUUUACUGCAUUUUGUUUAGCACCACUCAGAGCUGUAAUUAACAUCCCUAGUGCUAUGGACAGGAUGAAAACAAAUGCUCAACUUCAGUCUUAAAGAAAACAAACUUCCCUCACUUGUAGCUACUUUUUUCCUUAACUGGUGGCAGCCUAACCAGAGGACUGGAAAUAAUAAUGAGGCUCCAGGGUCAAGGCCAUUUGUCUAUUGCAGAUAACAUUGUACCUUGGCCUGAGGUGUGGAGGCAGUGCACUGCUUAUGUAAGAAACAUCCUUUCAUCUUCACCACCACCACGCACACUCUGCUCCUCUAGGAUCUUUUGCUUAAAACACGAAAGAUUAUUGUGUCAACCACCAUGUUUUAGUUUCCCCCAUUAGAUCCUCCCCCACUCCACCCGCAGCUGGGGAAGAGGUGUAGUCUACCACUGAUUAGAGAUAAUCUUGCUAUUCCGCAAGGGGAAUCCACCCCACCCCCACAAGUGCUGACCAACCUCUCAGAUUGUUUUUUCAUCUUCUACCAUGAGAAGAGUUGAGAUUAGACAUUAGAUGAUUUCCUGGGUCUUUAACAUCCACAACUAUUCUAGUGCAGGCAAGUCUCAGAAGAAUAGGAAGCAAUCCCUCUCCUCAAGCCGUUUGUCCUCAAAGCAGGUAAAUAUUAUAGCAGGGCUUGUUAAAUUUCUUAUUUUCCUAGUGACUUACAAUAAAACAUUGAGAAUUGUG